rnacentral:tRNA from 1 species
GAGGGUAUAGCUCACUUGAUAGAGUGCCUGCUUAGCAUGCAUGAGGUCCUGGGUUCAGUCCCCAGUACCUCCA